rnacentral:rRNA from 1 species
UGGAUCCAGACUUUGAUCAUUGGCUCAGGACGAACGCUGGCGGCGUGCCUAAUACAUGCAAGUCGAGCGAGCUUGCCUAGAUGAUUUUAGUGCUUGCACUAAAUGAAACUAGAUACAAGCGAGCGGCGGACGGGUGAGUAACACGUGGGUAACCUGCCCAAGAGACUGGGAUAACACCUGGAAACAGAUGCUAAUACCGGAUAACAACACUAGACGCAUGUCUAGAGUUUGAAAGAUGGUUCUGCUAUCACUCUUGGAUGGACCUGCGGUGCAUUAGCUAGUUGGUAAGGUAACGGCUUACCAAGGCAAUGAUGCAUAGCCGAGUUGAGAGACUGAUCGGCCACAUUGGGACUGAGACACGGCCCAAACUCCUACGGGAGGCAGCAGUAGGGAAUCUUCCACAAUGGACGAAAGUCUGAUGGAGCAACGCCGCGUGAGUGAAGAAGGGUUUCGGCUCGUAAAGCUCUGUUGGUAGUGAAGAAAGAUAGAGGUAGUAACUGGCCUUUAUUUGACGGUAAUUACUUAGAAAGUCACGGCUAACUACGUGCCAGCAGCCGCGGUAAUACGUAGGUGGCAAGCGUUGUCCGGAUUUAUUGGGCGUAAAGCGAGUGCAGGCGGUUCAAUAAGUCUGAUGUGAAAGCCUUCGGCUCAACCGGAGAAUUGCAUCAGAAACUGUUGAACUUGAGUGCAGAAGAGGAGAGUGGAACUCCAUGUGUAGCGGUGGAAUGCGUAGAUAUAUGGAAGAACACCAGUGGCGAAGGCGGCUCUCUGGUCUGCAACUGACGCUGAGGCUCGAAAGCAUGGGUAGCGAACAGGAUUAGAUACCCUGGUAGUCCAUGCCGUAAACGAUGAGUGCUAAGUGUUGGGAGGUUUCCGCCUCUCAGUGCUGCAGCUAACGCAUUAAGCACUCCGCCUGGGGAGUACGACCGCAAGGUUGCAACUCAAAUGAAUUGACGGA